AUUAGUUGCCAUCAUUUGGUUGGGCACUCUAAUGAGACUGCCGGUGACAAACCGGAGGAAGGUGGGGAUGACGUCAAGUCCUCAUGGCCCUUAUGGGUAGGGCUUCACACGUCAUACAAUGGUCGGUACAGAGGGUUGCCAACCCGCGAGGGGGAGCUAAUCCCACAAAGCCGAUCGUAGUCCGGAUCGCAGUCUGCAACUCGACUGCGUGAAGUCGGAAUCGCUAGUAAUCGUGGAUCAGCAUGUCACGGUGAAUACGUUCCCGGGUCUU
rnacentral:rRNA from 1 species